rnacentral:rRNA from 1 species
AGUGAACGCUGGCGGUAGGCCUAACACAUGCAAGUCGAACGGCAGCACAGUAAGAGCCUGCUCUUACGGGUGGCGAGUGGCGGACGGGUGAGGAAUACAUCGGAAUCUACUUUUUCGUGGGGGAUAACGUAGGGAAACUUACGCUAAUACCGCAUACGACCUACGGGUGAAAGCAGGGGAUCUUCGGACCUUGCGCGAUUGAAUGAGCCGAUGUCGGAUUAGCUAGUUGGCGGGGUAAAGGCCCACCAAGGCGACGAUCCGUAGCUGGUCUGAGAGGAUGAUCAGCCACACUGGAACUGGGACACGGUCCAGACUCCUAAGGGAGGCAGCAGUGGGGAAUAUUGGACAAUGGGCGCAAGCCUGAUCCAGCCAUACCGCGUGGGUGAAGAAGGCCUUCGGGUUGUAAAGCCCUUUUGUUGGGAAAGAAAAGCAGCAGGUUAAUACCCCGCUGUUCUGACGGUACCCAAAGAAUAAGCACCGGCUAACUUCGUG